rnacentral:rRNA from 1 species
CAGCCGCCGCGGUAAUACCGGCGGCCCGAGUGGCGGUCACUAUUAUUGGGCUUAAAGCGUCCGUAGCCGGGUUGGGAAGUCCUCCGGGAAAUCUGGCCGCUUAAAGGUCAGAAUGCCGGAGGAUACUCCCAGCCUAGGGAGCGGGAGAGGCCGAGGGGAUUCCCGGGGUAGGGGUGAAAUCCUAUAAUCCCGGGAGGACCACCUGUGGCGAAGGCGCUCGGCUGGGACGCGUCCGACGGGGAGGGACGAAGGCCAGGGGAGCAAACCGGAUUAGAUACCCGGGUAGUCCUGGCUGUAAACGAUGCGGACUUUGUGUCGGACAAGCUAUGAGCUUGUCCGGUGCCGGAGGGAAACCGUUAAGUCCGCCGCCUGGGGAGUACGGCCGCAAGGCUGAAACUUAAAGGAAUUGGCGGG